rnacentral:rRNA from 1 species
GAUGAACGCUGGCGGCGUGCCUAAUACAUGCAAGUCGAGCGAACAGACGAGGAGCUUGCUCCUCUGACGUUAGCGGCGGACGGGUGAGUAACACGUGGAUAACCUACCUAUAAGACUGGGAUAACUUCGGGAAACCGGAGCUAAUACCGGAUAAUAUAUUGAACCGCAUGGUUCAAUAGUGAAAGACGGUUUUGCUGUCACUUAUAGAUGGAUCCGCGCCGCAUUAGCUAGUUGGUAAGUUAACGGCUUGCCAAGGCAACGAUGCGUAGCCGACCUGAGAGGGUGAUCGGCCACUCUGGAACUGAGACACGGUCCAGACUCCUACGGGAGGCAGCAGUAGGGAAUCUUCCGCAAUGGGCGAAAGCCUGACGGAGCAACGCCGCGUGAGUGAUGAAGGUCUUCGGAUCGUAAAACUCUGUUAUUAGGGAAGAACAAAUGUGUAAGUAACUAUGCACGUCUUGACGGUACCUAAUCAGAAAGCCACGGCUAACUACGUG